rnacentral:rRNA from 1 species
GAUAAGCGCCGGUAAGGUGAUAUGAACCGUUAUAACCGGCGAUACCCGAAUGGGGAAACCCAGUGUGACUCGUCACACUAUCAUUAACUGAAUCCAUAGGUUAAUGAGGCGAACCGGGGGAACUGAAACAUCUAAGUACCCCGAGGAAAAGAAAUCAACCGAGAUUCCCCCAGUAGCGGCGAGCGAACGGGGAGGAGCCCAGAGCCUGAAUCAGCAUGUGUGUUAGUGGAAGCGUCUGGAAAGGCGCGCGAUACAGGGUGACAGCCCCGUACACAAAAGCGCAUGUGCUGUGAGCUCGAUGAGUAGGGCGGGACACGUGGUAUCCUGUCUGAAUAUGGGGGGACCAUCCUCCAAGGCUAAAUACUCCUGACUGACCGAUAGUGAACCAGUACCGUGAGGGAAAGGCGAAAAGAACCCCGGCGAGGGGAGUGAAAAAGAACCUGAAACCGUGUACGUACAAGCAGUGGGAGCACAGGUUUACCUGUGUGACUGCGUACCUUUUGUAUAAUGGGUCAGCGACUUAUAUUCUGUAGCAAGGUUAACCGUAUAGGGGAGCCGUAGGGAAACCGAGUCUUAACCGGGCGUUAAGUUGCAGGGUAUAGACCCGAAACCCGGUGAUCUAGCCAUGGGCAGGUUGAAGGUUGGGUAACACUAACUGGAGGACCGAACCGACUAAUGUUGAAAAAUUAGCGGAUGACCUGUGGCUGGGGGUGAAAGGCCAAUCAAACCGGGAGAUAGCUGGUUCUCCCCGAAAGCUAUUUAGGUAGCGCCUCGUGAAUUCAUCUCCGGGGGUAGAGCACUGUUUCGGCUAGGGGGCCAUCCCGGCUUACCAACCCGAUGCAAACUGCGAAUACCGGAGAAUGUUAUCACGGGAGACACACGGCGGGUGCUAACGUCCGUCGUGAAGAGGGAAACAACCCAGACCGCCAGCUAAGGUCCCAAAGUCAUGGUUAAGUGGGAAACGAUGUGGGAAGGCCCAGACAGCCAGGAUGUUGGCUUAGAAGCAGCCAUCAUUUAAAGAAAGCGUAAUAGCUCACUGGUCGAGUCGGCCUGCGCGGAAGAUGUAACGGGGCUAAACCAUGCACCGAAGCUGCGGCAGCGACGCUGAUGCGUUGUUGGGUAGGGGAGCGUUCUGUAAGCCUGUGAAGGUGGCCUGUGAGGGUUGCUGGAGGUAUCAGAAGUGCGAAUGCUGACAUAAGUAACGAUAAAGCGGGUGAAAAGCCCGCUCGCCGGAAGACCAAGGGUUCCUGUCCAACGUUAAUCGGGGCAGGGUGAGUCGACCCCUAAGGCGAGGCCGAAAGGCGUAGUCGAUGGGAAACGGGUUAAUAUUCCCGUACUUGGUGUUACUGCGAAGGGGGGACGGAGAAGGCUAUGUUGGCCGGGCGACGGUUGUCCCGGUUUAAGCGUGUAGGUGUGUGUUCCAGGUAAAUCCGGUUCACUUUAACACUGAGGCGUGAUGACGAGGCACUACGGUGCUGAAGCAACAAAUGCCCUGCUUCCAGGAAAAGCCUCUAAGCAUCAGGUAACAUCAAAUCGUACCCCAAACCGACACAGGUGGUCAGGUAGAGAAUACCAAGGCGCUUGAGAGAACUCGGGUGAAGGAACUAGGCAAAAUGGUGCCGUAACUUCGGGAGAAGGCACGCUGACACGUAGGUGAAGUGAUUUACUCAUGGAGCUGAAGUCAGUCGAAGAUACCAGCUGGCUGCAACUGUUUAUUAAAAACACAGCACUGUGCAAACACGAAAGUGGACGUAUACGGUGUGACGCCUGCCCGGUGCCGGAAGGUUAAUUGAUGGGGUCAGCGCAAGCGAAGCUCCUGAUCGAAGCCCCGGUAAACGGCGGCCGUAACUAUAACGGUCCUAAGGUAGCGAAAUUCCUUGUCGGGUAAGUUCCGACCUGCACGAAUGGCGUAAUGAUGGCCAGGCUGUCUCCACCCGAGACUCAGUGAAAUUGAACUCGCUGUGAAGAUGCAGUGUACCCGCGGCAAGACGGAAAGACCCCGUGAACCUUUACUAUAGCUUGACACUGAACAUUGAGCCUUGAUGUGUAGGAUAGGUGGGAGGCUUUGAAGCGUGGACGCCAGUCUGCAUGGAGCCGGCCUUGAAAUACCACCCUUUAAUGUUUGAUGUUCUAACGUGGACCCGUGAUCCGGGUUGCGGACAGUGUCUGGUGGGUAGUUUGACUGGGGCGGUCUCCUCCUAAAGAGUAACGGAGGAGCACGAAGGUUGGCUAAUCCUGGUCGGACAUCAGGAGGUUAGUGCAAUGGCAUAAGCCAGCUUGACUGCGAGCGUGACGGCGCGAGCAGGUGCGAAAGCAGGUCAUAGUGAUCCGGUGGUUCUGAAUGGAAGGGCCAUCGCUCAACGGAUAAAAGGUACUCCGGGGAUAACAGGCUGAUACCGCCCAAGAGUUCAUAUCGACGGCGGUGUUUGGCACCUCGAUGUCGGCUCAUCACAUCCUGGGGCUGAAGUAGGUCCCAAGGGUAUGGCUGUUCGCCAUUUAAAGUGGUACGCGAGCUGGGUUUAGAACGUCGUGAGACAGUUCGGUCCCUAUCUGCCGUGGGCGCUGGAGAACUGAGGGGGGCUGCUCCUAGUACGAGAGGACCGGAGUGGACGCAUCACUGGUGUUCGGGUUGUCAUGCCAAUGGCACUGCCCGGUAGCUAAAUGCGGAAGAGAUAAGUGCUGAAAGCAUCUAAGCACGAAACUUGCCCCGAGAUGAGUUCUCCCUGAGACUUAGAGUCUCCUGAAGGAACGUUGAAGACGACGACGUUGAUAGGCCGGGUGUGUAAGCGCAGCGAUGCGUUGAGCUAACCGGUACUAAUGAACCGUGAGGCUUAACCUUACAACGCCGAAG